rnacentral:rRNA from 1 species
GACGAACGCUGGCGGCGUGCUUAACACAUGCAAGUCGAGCGGUAAGGCCCUUUCGGGGGUACACGAGCGGCGAACGGGUGAGUAACACGUGGGUGACCUGCCCUUAGCUCUGGGAUAAGCCUGGGAAACUGGGUCUAAUACCGGAUAUGACUCCAUGACGCAUGUUGUGGGGUGGAAAGCCUUGUGCGGCUAGGGAUGGGCCCGCGGCCUAUCAGCUUGUUGGUGGGGUGANGGCCUACCAAGGCGACGACGGGUAGCCGGCCUGAGAGGGCGACCGGCCACACUGGGACUGAGACACGGCCCAGACUCCUACGGGAGGCAGCAGUGGGGAAUCUUGCGCAAUGGGCGAAAGCCUGACGCAGCGACGCCGCGUGGGGAUGAUGGCCU